rnacentral:rRNA from 1 species
GAUGAACGCUAGCUACAGGCUUAACACAUGCAAGUCGAGGGACCGGCGCACGGGUAAGUAACACGUAUCCAACCUGCCCUUUACUCGUGGCUAGCCUUUCGAAAGAAAGAUUAAUACCCGAUAUAAAGGAUGGGGAUGCGUUCCUUUAGGUUGUUGGUGAGGUCACGGCUCACCAAGCCUUCGAUGGAUAGGGGUUAUGAGAGGAAGGUCCACCACAUUGGAACUGGGACACGGUCCAAACUCCGACGGGAGGCAGCAGUGAGGAAUAUUGGUCAAUGGGGGCUAGCCUGAACCAGCCAAGUAGCGUGAAGGAUGAAGGCUUAUGGGUCGUAAACUACUUUUAUAUAAGAAUAUGUAUUAUAUGAAUAAGGAACGGCUAACUCCGUGCCAGCAGCCGCGGUAAUAC